AUAGCCCCGAUCUGGGUGAACAACAUAUCCAAAAAUCACCGAGAUCGGUACAGGGGUUCAGGAAUAUCCUGGAAGUCAUAGUUUUGACCAACAUGCAUGGCCCCAUGCCCAAAACAGUUCAAUGAAAUCAGUGCUAGCAGUCAGUCUGUCAAGUUCCGUAGUCUUUUACAGGUUUCCCUGCAGGACCCAUAGUCUGUGGGCAGGAGGCUGGCAAGCAGGUUCCUCCAGGAGCUCAUGGCAAACUCACUUGGAGAGGGG